AACGAACGCUGGCGGCAUGCCUAACACAUGCAAGUCGAACGAGACCUUCGGGUCUAGUGGCGCACGGGUGCGUAACGCGUGGGAACCUGCCCUUAGGUUCGGAAUAACUCCCCGAAAGGGGUGCUAAUACCGGAUAAUGUCUUCGGACCAAGGAUUUAUCGCCUUUGGAUGGGCCCGCGUUGGAUUAGCUAGUUGGUAGGGUAAAAGCCUACCAAGGCGACGAUCCAUAGCUGGUCUGAGAGGAUGAUCAGCCACACUGGGACUGAGACACGGCCCAGACUCCUACGGGAGGCAGCAGUGGGGAAUAUUGGACAAUGGGCGAAAGCCUGAUCCAGCAAUGCCGCGUGAGUGAUGAAGGCCUUAGGGUUGUAAAGCUCUUUUACCCGGGAUGAUAAGGACAGUACCGGGAGAUUAAGCUCCGGCUAACUCCGU
rnacentral:rRNA from 1 species